UUGCCGAAUGGACUUAAAUUUUGUUUUGUUUUUUUUUUUCUUUUUAAAUAGCAUUAAGAAGGGCAGAGCGCAGAGACGCUUCAAAUCCCUCAGUUUCCCUCACAAUUCACACUAUAAAUAAGGGUUAAUAAAUUUUCUUAAUUCUUGUUGGAAGUCACCACUGUGAUCUCUUGGCUCUUCAAUGGCUUUUUGGGGAGUGAAACCUGGGCAACCUUUCACUCAUGCACCUCUAAAUGCAAGGUUUCAUCUAUCCCAAGUACUAUUGAUAAAAUUUUCCACUAUUCUUGAGUUAAUGGCUGAUUCCCAAUAUCUGAUAAGAAAAUGAACGUAAAUAUGUGAUUGUGAGGCGACAUUAGGAAUGGGUAAUGGAGUAGAGAAAGUCAUAGUUCAUAAUGUGGGGAAUAAGAUGCCAUUCUCUGCAGUUUGUUUCCUGAUAAGUCAGAGUGUUGUCAAUUGAAUUUGGAAUUUGAGGAAUCUGAUAAAGUUGUCUUCUCUACUAUCGGCCUUCGAACUGUUCAUCUUACUGGUUAAUAUCUGCCUACUUCCCUUAUUCAUCAUAAUGAUGAAUUGUAUCUUUUUUUGGAUUUUUUAUGUUUUGAAUUUACUUCAUGUUCUUUGUGGCAUAGGAGUUCUUUUCUACUGUUUACGUUAACUAUGUUGGUUAGAGAAUCAUAUGGGGAAGAUAUUGCAGAAACAAAAACAGAAAGAUCGGAUAAAAGCGAAGAAAGUGAGUAUGGCGGUAGUUUUAUUGACGAUGAUGAUCCGGAAUUCGUCUCAUCUUCUCAAGAAUUUUCUGGCGAAGGAAGGCGUAAGAAGAAAUACCAGAUCAGUGAAUCUGAAAAUGAGGGAAGUUCUCAGCAAAUGGAUUUCACUAGUGGUGUUGCUGCUACUAUGGAAGUAUUGGACAGUGAACUUGAAGUUACGUUGCCCAUCUCCUCACUAUCUGCAUCGAAGAGUGGAAAAGCUGAUGUGAAGGAAAUAGCUAGAAAAAAAUAGAUAAUCAUAAUGACAAUGAGAUUGAAGAUGAUGCUACCAUGUUAGAAGGGACUAAUGCUGUGAGAGGUGUUGAGCUUGAAUGUAAAUCAGGGAAUAGGCAUGGAGAAAAACAAAAGCAUGAGCUUCGUGAAGAGCUCUGGCAAAGGAGGAAAGAUUACCAGGAACUGAUCAUCGCAUUGAAAAAGCUUGUCUACUUAGUUGUAUGCUUUACAAGCAAAUUGCCUUGUAAGUAAUGACUACUUGCUGGCUUCCAGAGAAGUGGGUGCUGAAGAUGGAGCUAAGUUAAAGAGGAAAAGAAAGGAACAUUUUGAAUAUAAAACACUCGAAGACAAUGUUACCAAAGAGGAUGAAGUCCAGAAUAGUAGUUCAAAUUUGAACACUGUGACCGAGGAUGUAGCAGUGGAGGAUAAGGAAACUCAAAACCAAGAUAAUCACAAGAAGAGGGAAAAGAAGAGAAAGUGUAAGGAUAAAGAAGGGGAUGCUAUGAAGAUGGAACCGCCUAGCUUACUAGCCAAUGAAAAGAAGAUAACUGUUGUGGAAAUGGAUGCCAAGGAUGCUAAUGAUAAGGAAAUUUAGCUGUCAAAUGGAUUUAUCAUUGAAGAAUUAGAAAUGGGAAACCAGAUGGGAAAAUAGCUUUUCUUGGUAGAAAGGCAUGUAGUCUUCAAUUUCUUCGUGGUGAACGAAUAGGUACUAAUGUAUUCUUGCAGGGUGCAUGACAGCUGAAUUUCCGUAGUAUUUUUGUGCUAAUGUGGUACUUGUGUUAAUUUUUAUUUUAAUUUUGGUACUUAAAAAUAAUGAAGUUAAUUUUUUAGUAUUUAUUUUGGGUUUAUAGUUGAUUUGAUUAUGAUUAUUUGUUUAUUAUUAAAUUUGACAUUUUCAUAAUAA